GACGAACGAUGGCGGCGUGCUUAACACAUGCAAGUCGAACGAGUGGCGAACGGGUGAGUAAUACGUGAGUAACCCGCCCUCUUUUUGGGUUAAGCCUUUGUAACGGGGUCUAAUACCGGAUAACGGGGGAUGGGCUCGCGUCCUAUCAGCUCGGUGGUGGGGUGAUGGCCUACCCAGGCGGUGACGGGUAGCCGGCCUGAGAGGGUGGCCGGCCGCAGUGUGACUGGGCUACGUCCCAGGCUCCUACGGGAGGGAGCAGUGGGGGAUAGUGCUCAAUGGGCGAAAGGCUGAUGCCGCGACGCCGCGUGGGGGAUUAAGGCUUGCGGGUUGUGAACCUCGUUCGCUAUCGAACCGGUAGGUGGAGAAGAGGCGCCGGCUAACUACGUGCCAGCAGCCGCGGUAAUAC
rnacentral:rRNA from 1 species